CUCCACCUUAUAGGCGAUGAUUAAGCGCCGCGAUCGCCUGUGCCAGCAGCCGCGGUAAUUCCAGCUCCAAUAGCGUAUUCAAAUGUUGUUGCAGUUAAAAAGCUCGUAGUUGGAUAUCAGAACUCGUGGAAUUGGCCCGUCGCCUUUGUGUGAUUGAGUGCUAGUGAAGCGGUUCUUUCUUUUCCGAGAAGGUGCUCUCCCUUUAAUUAGUGGUGGAGUUUUCCAACUUGGAUCUGUUACCUUGAAUAAAUUAGAGUGUUCAAAGCAAGCUUACGCUGUGAAUAUUUUAGCAUGGAAUAACGACAUAGGACUUUGUUGUCUAUUUCGUUGGUUUCUAGACUCGAAGUAAUGAUUGAUAGGGACAGUUGGGGGUGCUGGUAUUAUAUGGCCAGAGGUGAAAUUCUCAGAUUCAUGUAAGACCAACUCAUGCGAAAGCAUUCACCAAGGAUGUCUUCUUUAAUCAAGAACGAAAGUAGGGGGAUCGAAGACGAUCAGAUACCGUCGUAGUCUCUACCAUAAACUAUGCCGACUAGGGAUUGGAGGACGUUGAUUACUCGACUUCUUCAGCACCUUAUGAGAAAUCAAAGUCUUUGGGUUCCGGGGGGAGUAUGGUCGCAAGGCUGAAACUUAAAGAAAUUGACGGAAGGACACCACCAGAAGUGGAACUUGCGGCUUAAUUUGGCUCAACACGGGAAAACUUACCAGGUCCAGACGCAGUUAUGAAUGUCAGCUUAAAGAGCUUACAUGAUUCUUCGGGUGGUGGUGCAUGGCCGUUCUUAGUUGGUGGAGUGAUUUGUCUGGUUAAUUCCGUUAACGAACGAGACCCCAACCUGCUAAAUAGAGUCGUUCUCGAUUUUCGAGGGCGGGUACUUCUUAGAGGGACUUUUGGAACCAAUCCAAAGGAAGCUUGGGGCGAUAACAGGUCUGUGAUGCCC
rnacentral:rRNA from 1 species